CCAGCACCCGCGGUAAUUCCAGCUCCAAUAGCGUAUAUUAAAGUUGUUGCAGUUAAAACGCUCGUAGUCUGAGAUUUGGGUGAGGGGAGUGGGUGGCAGCGAUGCCAUUUGCACCCUUGUCCAUUUUGUGGUAGAGAUGCCACGGUUACUUUGAGGAAAUUAGGGUGUUUAAAGCGGGCGAUUGCUUGAAUACUGCAGCAUGGAAUAACGGAAUAGGGCUUGCCGUCUUAUUUUGUUGGUUUGGAGGGGCGAGUAAUGAUUAAUAGGGGCAGUUGGGGGCAUUGGUAUUUGGUAGCUAGAGGUGAAAUUCUUGGAUUUACCAAAGACUAACUAGUGCGAAAGCAUUUGCC
rnacentral:rRNA from 1 species